UCAUCAGCCCUGGGAAAUGUCACUUGUCCUCAGAUCUCAGAUGAAAUUAGAAAAGCCAGAAGUGAGGUGGAGCUGUUGAGAGAGUGAAGGCUAAGAAUAAGGAUUUCUGUAGCGUCGGGAGCUGAGUGACAGAUGCACACUGAUGGAGCACAGUGCAUUGAUUUUUGCUGCUGCAGUACUUUAUGCUCAAAGAAAUACAGCUUUUAAAACGAUGGAGGACCCCUAUUCAGAGAAAACAGAAGGCUCCUCAGCAAUGCUGAUUUUCCAAUGGCAGCCACUCUAAGAAAUUCCUGUUCCCACCUUCCUCAAGCCAUGGCUUUCUGCUCCUGGAUGUCAGCCCUGUUCUUUGAGCUGGGCACACCUGAACCUGCUGUACUUCAGAAGUUGUAUUUUCCCUGGAGGAGCAGUAGAAGCCCAGCCACCAUGCAUUCCCUGUGCUACACCAUGCCAGAGGGAUACAAAAACUCAGUGACCGGAGCCAAAUGAUUGUUCCAUGUAUCUGUGCAUCAGUGAUUUGGGGGGUUUGCAGCGCUGGCUGAAACGCGCAGGCCAGCUGCCUGCCGGUGGCAGCAGGAAAACAGGCAGACAAAGCAGAUGGACCCAGCAGGGGUGGAGGAGCGCUGUCUUCAGUGGGCCAUAGGCAUCACUGAAGAGUAAACAGCUCUCCGAAGGGAGCCGGGAGCUAACCCCAAACCCAUCCUCUCCAAAGCACUCAAUCACAGCACAUUAACAAGAGCGCCUGGACUGCUGGGGGAGAGUAAACAAUGAGAGGCCUUGCUGGUGGGAGAGUGGGAAAAGCGCAGCCCAUAUUUAUUGUAAGAGGGUGUAAAAAGUGGCUCGUGGCUCAGCAUGCUGUCAGCGAGCCGCGCUCGUUGUCAGUGCUCAUCUCCUUGUAGGAAAGCCGCCCUUUGCCUUCGCGGGUUGAGUGGGUGCCUGCGCGCUGCUGGACACGCAGGGAUGCUCAGCGAGGCCAGGAGGCAGCAGCAGAAGUGAGAGGCGAAACCUUCCCUCCCGCAGGCGAAUGUGCUUCGAUGCUUGCCCUAAACCAGGCAGGGGUAGCAUCGGGGCUACCGCUCCUUCCAACCACAGCCACUCAAGUGAGCUGCCUGUUUGGAUGAGGGAAGCGUGUUGGGGACCCAGCGCUACUGUCCAGAGCAGGAGGGGGUGAUCUCCUCCUGUCCACACCAGUGUGACUUCCUUGGUUUGAGAGCGGCUUCUGAUUUAUGCCCAGGGGCUGGAGCCCGCUCACCGGGCGCUGCUCUUUCAUCUGCAACGUCGCAGAGAAAUUUGUUUACAGAGCUCUUGGUGCGCUCACAGAUUCUUUCUCCCCUUCCCCCUUUCCUCCAAAUCAGCUACAGUUUUCCCUCUCCUUUGGCUCCCGCUGCAAAACCAAUUGACCUUUCUGGGCUGUGUCUGACACAUGAACCGUGCAAAAUCCUUUCUUCUCCCCGAGCCCUGUGCUUGCUUGGGAACGUGGCUGCCUGGAGGAGUGCAAACAGGAGCCCUCCAGCAGCCCUUUGCUGCAUUUCUGAGGGCUGCUUUGCUUGUAAUGCUGCGCAUCCUUGAGAGUGGGUGGCUGUGUGUGUUGUGGCUGAGCUCCCCAGUGCUCUUUGCAAACACUGAUGAUAGGAUGAGGAGGAAUGGCCUCAAGUUGUGCCUGGGGAUGUUCAGAUUGGAUACUAGGAAAAACUUUGUUCCAAAAGAGU